rnacentral:misc_RNA from 1 species
CCUAUCGCCUCUCUCCCCACGCGCCCCACCGCCUUACUCGCUCGUGGAUGGUAUCAUAAUCAAACAUUGAAAAGAGUGCCUCACCAUUCUCGUUAUUUCGUGCUGCUUGUAUCGCUGCCAAGCCACUGCUUCACCGAGGAAGCUGCGCCUGGAGGGCUUGUCCCUCAUCCUUGACCUUGCUUUUCUUCGCAGCACGCGCGGUGCUGCCGUCGCAAAACCAGACGAGCCAAAAACAACUUUAGCAGACACGUAGCGGUGCUUUAUCCUACCCACCCCACCCCACCCGCCAACACACACACACUCCUGUCCUCUCUUGUUGUGUGCUGCGUUUUUUUUUUUGUAGCUGUGUGCCUGUUUGCGGGUGGAGCGUGUCUUGUGCGAGAAGCAGAGGGGAAACCAACGAUACAUUCCCUUCUUGGGUCUUUGUUCACUCGAACUCCUACAUCUCGUAGUGGGAACAUUUGUCGCACGGUAUCCUGCAGCCCCCUCCACCUCCCCCAACCCACUGUACACUCAAUAUACACGGGCAUACACAGUUAAGCGAGUACCCAUACCUGCGCAUCCUCACCCAGGCACGCAGACACGCCCACACACAAACAGGCACACUCGAGCGCGCGCACAGUAAGUAGAGAAAGAGACCGCAGUGCCAACCGCCUCAUCCACGACGACAGUAGCAGGGAAAGAAGCAGCGGUGUUUCAGCCUCCUUUUCUUUUCACUCUCGUGUGUGCGUGUUUCCUCAACGCCGUCAGCGAUCUUCUCCUUUACUCUGUUUUUUGUUGUUGUUUUCUGCGUGCCUGUGUGAGGACAGAUCCAUCUUUUAAGUAUCUCUCACUCGCUCCCUCACUCGUUGUCCUUCUUCUGGGUUCUCCCUCUCCCCUUUCACUAUUUCUCGCUCCGUAUAAUAACGAUCUUUCUUGGUGUGUGUGUUUCAUUGUGUGUGUGAACGAUAGUGGGAAAGAGAGAGGCGGUGUGUCUUGAGGUUCGUCUUUCACGGAGCUUUCUAGGCCCUCCUCUCCGUCCUGCGGCUCGUCGUCAUUGCGGAGAGCUUUCGAAGACGCGGAGAAGAUAGAGAAGAAGCUAUUCUGCACGCCACAUCUCUUGCUAGCCUCUCCCUCCUCUUCUGUGUGUGUGUGUGUGUGUGCCACGUGUGCACCCAUGUUCUAAUCCCGCUUUUGUUUUUUCAGGCUUCGUCGUUUCUUUUUUGUUUUCCGCUCCCCUCCCCCUCACAUGAACAUCGUUUUAGAUCGCUCUCUCACGCGACGUCCUUUUCUUCCUUCCUGUGUGUGUGUGUGUGUGUGUGUGUGUGUGAUUUCACUGUUUUGCGUCUUUUUUAUUGUUUCUUGUGCGUUUAUGUGUGCCUGGGGAGAGG